UAUCUUUUUUUUUUCCCGUGUGGAUCACUUGGCUAAGCUCUUGAGUGUUUGUGUAUAUCAUUAAGGAAAAUGUAAUGUUUUAGGGCUUGGUGCAAUCAACACAAGAUCAUCAGCAGAGGAACAUCUGGAGCACCUUAUUUAAAGGGAAUCCCUUUUUUCCAUUUUGACUGCACUGGACAUCCUUCAUGAUUGUGAAAACACAUUUGACAGAAGUAGAAACAAACUUGAGACUGCCUACUACUGCCCCAAGUUUCCCCUGCCUGAAUGAAGGCCAGGAAUCCUUGGAAGGACUCACAAGAAGCUCUGAUAGAUGAAGAAACUAAAGCCAUCUAUAGUCAUAUGAAAAAAUGCUCUAAAUCGCUAUUGA